GAGUUUGAUCAUGGCUCAGGAUGAACGCUGGCGGCGUGCUUAACACAUGCAAGUCGAACGAACCUUCGGGUUAGUGGCGGACGGGUGAGUAACGCGUGGGAAUCUGCCCUCAGGAGGGGGAUAACGGUUGGAAACGACCGCUAAUACCCCAUAUGCCGAGAGGUGAAAUGAAUUUCGCCUGAGGAUGAGCCCGCGUCUGAUUAGCUUGUUGGUGAGGUAAUGGCUCACCAAGGCAUCGAUCAGUAGCUGGUCUGAGAGGAUGAUCAGCCACACUGGGACUGAGACACGGCCCAGACUCCUACGGGAGGCAGCAGUGGGGAAUUUUCCGCAAUGGGCGAAAGCCUGACGGAGCAACGCCGCGUGAGGGACGAAGGCCUCUGGGCUGUAAACCUCUUUUCUCAAGGAAGAAGAUAUGACGGUACUUGAGGAAUAAGCCACGGCUAAUUCCGUGCCAGCAGCCGCGGUAAUACGGGAGUGGCAAGCGUUAUCCGGAAUUAUUGGGCGUAAAGCGUCCGCAGGCGGCCCUUCAAGUCUGCUGUUAAAGCGUGGAGCUUAACUCCAUCAUGGCAGUGGAAACUGAUUGGCUUGAGUAUGGUAGGGGCAGAGGGAAUUCCCGGUGUAGCGAUGAAAUGCGUAGAUAUCGGGAAGAACACCAGUGGCGAAGGCGCUCUGCUGGGCCAUUACUGACGCUCAUGGACGAAAGCCAGGGGAGCGAAAGGGAUUAGAUACCCCUGUAGUCCUGGCCGUAAACGAUGAACACUAGGUGUCGGGGGGAAUCGACCCCUUCGGUGUCGUAGCUAACGCGUUAAGUGUUCCGCCUGGGGAGUACGCACGCAAGUGUGAAACUCAAAGGAAUUGACGGGGGCCCGCACAAGCGGUGGAGUAUGUGGUUUAAUUCGAUGCAACGCGAAGAACCUUACCAGGGCUUGACAUCCUGCGAACCUUUAAGAAAUUAGAGGGUGCCUUCGGGAACGCAGUGACAGGUGGUGCAUGGCUGUCGUCAGCUCGUGUCGUGAGAUGUUGGGUUAAGUCCCGCAACGAGCGCAACCCACGUUUUUAGUUGCCAGCAUUUAGUUGGGCACUCUAGAAAGACCGCCGGUGAUAAACCGGAGGAAGGUGUGGACGACGUCAAGUCAUCAUGCCCCUUACGUCCUGGGCUACACACGUACUACAAUGCUACGGACAAAGGGCAGCAAACUCGCGAGAGCUAGCAUAUCCCAUAAACCGUGGCUCAGUUCAGAUCGUAGGCUGCAACUCGCCUACGUGAAGUAGGAAUCGCUAGUAAUCGCAGGUCAGCAUACUGCGGUGAAUACGUUCCCGGGCCUUGUACACACCGCCCGUCACACCAUGGAAGUUGGCCAUGCCCGAAGUCGUUACUUUAACCCUUGUGGAGAAGGACGCCGAAGGUGGGGCUGAUGACUGGGGUGAAGUCGUAACAAGGUAACC
rnacentral:rRNA from 1 species